rnacentral:sRNA from 12 species
ACACAGAAGGUAGGAAUGGAACUGCCUUCUGUGUAUCUUUUUUUUUACAUAACAUAAGGAGGUUAUGA